rnacentral:rRNA from 1 species
UACAGAGACUGCAAGCGUUAUUCGGAUUCACUGGGCGUAAAGGGCGCGCAGGCGGCCAAGUGUGUUAGGCGUGAAAGCCCGGGGCUUAACCCCGGAAUUGCACCUAAAACUACAUGGCUAGAGCAUUGGAGAGGGUAGCGGAAUUCACGGUGUAGCAGUGAAAUGCGUAGAUAUCGUGAGGAACACCAGAGGCGAAGGCGGCUACCUGGACAAUUGCUGACGCUCAGGCACGAAAGCGUGGGGAGCAAAAGGG